rnacentral:lncRNA from 1 species
GGGCGGCCGCGCUUCAGGCCGGGCCGCGCGGUCUCCCCUGCACCGCCGCCCCCUGGACGAGGGCUGGACCCAAGGCGGUGGUCAGGGACCUCAGAACACAAGUAGAACCAGUCCAGGCCCGGGCCCGCGCUGCCCGGGUAUGGUCCACCAAACGAGCCUUCUCUUUAAGGGUCUCGAGAAGGGCCCCACGCUGGGGGACCCCACUGCAGAACUUUUCGUGAGGGCUGCAAGGAGGGCCGCGUUGUAAAAUAAAGAGGAGACACGAAGCGGCAUCCCCUGAGGGUUGGGGAUCGGGCCGUGAGGAUGGAGUUGGGACAGGCCUUUUUGCUUUGGUAGUUGUAGGGGUUGCAUUGGAAGAUGGGCCAGCGGCAGAGCGGAGCAUGCAGGAAAGAGGAAGAGGCCUUGGACCUGCAGCCCAGGGGUUUGGGUGGGGGGAUUCCUACCUCAGUGAUCCCUGCUGAGCCUGGCUGUUGUCUGUGGUCCAGAAGGUUCCUUUACCUGACUCACUCCUCUCAGAUCAUGUCCAAAUACCAGGAGACUGACCCAGGUCCUCACCAGGUGAGUAGAGGUCUGGCUCUGAGCGACAUUAAGGAAAAGACACAGACAGAGACUGUUUUCUCUUUGGGUCUUCACAUUCAGUGAGUACAGUUCAGAAGUGUUCUUAACUGAGAGAAGCCCCUUUUGGGGAAAAUUUUUCUUUACUGUUGACUCCUUUUUCCUGCUAUGCUUCACUUUUCCGGCAUUUUAAAUUAGUUUGUUUUAAUUAUGAGUAGACUACAUCUACACAGUAAAUAGUCAAACAGAAAUAGGAUAGAAAAUGAAAAGUAAAGGUCUCUCU